CCUACGUGUGGCUGCAGUGGGGAAUAUUGCACAAUGGGGGAAACCCUGAUGCAGCGACGUCGCGUGAGUGAUGAAGUAUUUCGGUAUGUAAAGCUCUAUCAGCAGGGAAGAAAAUGACGGUACCUGACUAAGCAGCCCCGGCUAACUACGUGCCAGCAGCCGCGGUAAUACGUAGGGGUCAAGCGUUAUCCGGAUUUACUGGGUGUAAAGGGAGCGUAGACGGCGGUGCAAGCCAGAUGUGAAAGCCCGGGGCUCAACCCCGGGACUGCAUUUGGAACUGUGCUGCUAGAGUGUCGGAGAGGCAGGCGGAAUUCCUAGUGUAGCGGUGAAAUGCGUAGAUAUUAGGAGGAACACCAGUGGCGAAGGCGGCCUGCUGGACGAUGACUGACGUUGAGGCUCGAAAGCGUGGGUAGCAAACAGGAUUAGAUACCCGGGUAGUC
rnacentral:rRNA from 1 species